GUAGUGGUGGUUCAGUGGGAGAAUUCUUGCCUUCCAUGUGGGAGACGUGGGUUUGAUUCCCAGCCGGUGUA
rnacentral:tRNA from 1 species